rnacentral:lncRNA from 1 species
UCCUUCCUAUGGGCAUCGCCGAGGUAUUCUCAUCCGCAAUUUAUGCUGCUUCGGAGGAAACUCUAGAUUCAUGUGAUCGGACGAUGACGGUGCUUUGGCAUCAUAUCCCUCUCCAGGGUUUCAUCUUUCGAGCUAUGCAUUAGCAUGCUGGGCCGAUGGAAGAUGGAAGCAGAAUGCAUUUAUAACAAGGGCACUGGCCACAGGUUUACAAUGACUUACUGGUUGUACUGAUGGAGCAGAGUGCAUAUUUGUGCAGAGUCUGCAAAGAGUAACUGAAAGACUCGACUGAUCAGAUUUGUCAGGAGGGCUUUCUUAUUUAUGUAUCCAAUUUUAUGCAUGCCAGAGGAAGAAGAUCAAGGUAUGUAUAUAUAGCUUGAUUAGACACAAUGGUAAAUUUCUUAUGCUUUUUUGGCCUGAAUCAUCUAUUAUGUUGUGCGUACAUGUACUACACAGUGUAUUAUUUUUUGGCCUGAAUCAAAAAAUAAUGCAGUCAUUUAACCUUCUCAAAUUCGGAUCAUGUACUACACAGUGUUGUUUCUUUUGCCUACAAGCAUCACGCACACCUUCCAGUAGGACCAGAAUGAUGUAUAGAAGAUAACAAAACAAGUUUACAAGUGUUACCGAAAUUUCCUUAAGUUCUUUUCUCCUAUGAUUUACUGAAUGCAUCCUUGUGUUCUGUAAUUGUGUAAAAAAUGACAUCUUUGUAAUGUACUUUUAUUUAACUCAGCUCAUUUUUCUCCGUAUUGUACUUCUAAAAUUUGCCAAGUUUCGAAUUCUGACUCAGAGUGCUUAUUCAUGUUCUUUUUUGUUAGCUUUUAGUCAGCUGAGUUGAAGAAGCAAGUAAGCCUGAAUAAAUGGACAGAUUGACAUUUAAAAAU